rnacentral:tRNA from 1 species
GGAAGCUGUAGACCACCGGUAGGUUGCCAGCCUCACCAGCCUCACCAGCCUCAUAAGCUGGAGAUACGGGGUUCGACUCCCUGCGCUGCUACCA